rnacentral:rRNA from 1 species
UACAGAGGUCCCAAGCGUUGUUCGGAUUCAUUGGGCGUAAAGGGUGCGUAGGCGGCGCGGUAAGUCGGGUGUGAAAUCUCGGAGCUUAACUCCGAAACUGCAUUCGAUACUGCCGUGCUUGAGGACUGGAGAGGAGACUGGAAUUUACGGUGUAGCGGUGAAAUGCGUAGAUAUCGUAAGGAAGACCAGUGGCGAAGGCGGGUCUCUGGACAGUUCCUGACGCUGAGGCACGAAGGCCAGGGAGCAAACGGGAUUAGAGUACCCC